GGCGAGAUGGCCGAGCGGUCUAAGGCGCUGUGUUAAGGUGUGACACCCUCUUACUCAAGUUCUUGAGCAAGAGAUCUCAUCCGCAGUCUUCGGACGUGGGUUCGAAUCCCACUCUCGUCA